rnacentral:rRNA from 1 species
UACGUAGGGACCAAGCGUUGUUCGGAUUUACUGGGCGUAAAGGGCGCGUAGGCGGCGCGGGAAGUCACUUGUGAAAUCUCUGAGCUUAACUCAGAACGGCCAAGUGAUACUGCAGUGCUAGAGUGUGGAAGGGGCAAUCGGAAUUCUUGGUGUAGCGGUGAAAUGCGUAGAUAUCAAGAGGAACACCUGAGGUGAAGACGGGUUGCUGGGCCAACACUGACGCUGGGGCGCGAAAGCCAGGGGAGCAAACAGG